rnacentral:rRNA from 1 species
GAUGAACGCUGGCGGCGUGCCUAAUACAUGCAAGUCGAGCGAACGGACGAGAAGCUUGCUUCUCUGAUGUUAGCGGCGGACGGGUGAGUAACACGUGGAUAACCUACCUAUAAGACUGGGAUAACUUCGGGAAACCGGAGCUAAUACCGGAUAAUAUUUUGAACCGCAUGGGUCAAAAGUGAAAGACGGUCUUGCUGUCACUUAUAGAUGGAUCCGAGCUGCAUUAGCUAGUUGGUAAGGUAACGGCUUACCAAGGCAACGAUGCAUAGCCGACCUGCGAGGGGGUUCGGCCACACUGGAACUGGGACACGGUCCAGACUCCUACGGGAGGCAGCAGCAGGGAAUCUCCCGCAAUGGGCGAAAGCCUGACGGAGCAACGCCGCGUGAGUGAUGAAGGUCUUCGGGUCGUAAAACUGUGUUAUUAGGGAAGAACAUCUGUGUAAGUAACUGUGCACAUCAUGACGGUACCUAAUCAAUAAGCAACGGCUAACUACGUG